GAGCAUCUUUAACGUUCCAUUGAAGCAACUCCUUAGAAUCUGUAGGAGCUGGAUCACUGCCAUCAACAUGACCCCAUAAUUCUUUCCCCGUGACAAAUAAUUGAAACUGAAAUUCCCAGGCAGGAUAAUUUUUUCCAGUGAAUCGAACAUUGAAAGUCUCAAAAUGGUUUGAAGUUGUCAUCUUGAACAGCACAAAGAAAACCAGAAAAGAAAACCAGAAAUUUUUGUGACCAAAAGCACGAAUACAAUCAGAGAACCAAGAGCCAAGAGCCUGAGAUAUUAGGACUGAUCACCAAAUAAAAUCAAGAAAACCAAAAAAAAAA
rnacentral:misc_RNA from 1 species